ensembl:processed_transcript
AGGCUUGCAGAAUAAACCAUUCUAACUACAGUUUGGUCUCUUCUCAUGUCUCCGGGUCGACCUGCUGAACUUUGCUGAAUCUGGUGCCUAAUAUAGGGGAAAUCUUACAGAUCUGGGGGCUCGUCCGGGAUACAUCUGAUCAGAUACUUUGGGGGCCCCCACAUCAGCUAGCACCUCCACGCAGCAUAACUACUAGAAGGAUAAGCAUGAAGUGGCUAUGGACAUUGGGACUGUUUCUCUUUCUUGUUGCUCAAGCUAAUGCAGCCAGGCUGAAACGCUGGACACAUGAUCAUGAAUUUGGAUGGGCAGAGGAUGGGGCUGACAAUCCAAUUGAAAUAAUAUGUGGUAUCAAUAUGUGAAAGUUUUAGCUAGGUCAUAUAAUGUAUCUGGUUGUUAUGUAUGUUCUGUUAUGCCUCAUUCAGCCAAGCAAACCCCUCUUUAUGCCAAACCCAUGAAUAAAACAGCUGCUAAAUGUUUUGCCAGUUUUGCAGGAUCAGGGUACCAGAAUCCAUAUAUAAUUGUCGAUGACUACGAUCCAUACCGGAUUGGCAUUAGAAAUGGUACAUGUGAUGCUCUAUUUUGGGUAAAAUUUGGCCAUGCUAAACCCUCACCUAUUAGCCACAAGGUUUUUAUUAACCACUCUAUUACACACCCUGUGUGUUAUAACCAGACCAUGGGCUCUCAUUUCAUGGGAAGCACUGUUAACUGUCAACAAAUUGCCUCCUCGGGAGAGGGGGCCCCAGUC